UUGUCCGUGUUAGUGGUGGUCAGGAUUUGUCCUUCGCAAAGAUAAAUCCAUGGAUGUGGUUGUCCAGACCAAACCCUUCUACCGCACGUGUGGCGUAGCUUCUCCGUUGAGGAUUUGUCGUUCUCUCAGUAUCUCAGAAGCAAAAUCUUCCGCCUCUGCUGAAACACGAUCGAUCACUUAGUCUUCUUCCCUAUCAUUGUUAAACAUGGAACACGCAGGUUGCUUUUUAAGGAUUAUUUUUGAUCAUCAUGUUAAUUUUGGGGAUGUUCUACAUGAUUUUGAAAUCUGGUUUGGUUCCAAUGAAGAUCAAUCGCAAAUUUUUUGGAACAGAAACCAAAUUACAUGUAUGAUUCCCUGAAGAAUCGAAUUUGGGUUCGUUGUUUGUAAAAACUUUAGUCCAGAUUAAUUUUUGAUUAAUUUGCCCAGAUUAAAAAAAUGAAUGACAGUCUUACUUCUCUGAUUCCCUGAAGAUCAGAACUUUUUAUGUAAUUUUCUUGGAAAGGUCCGUAUUCCAGUUAAGAUUUGGUUUUUGAGUUUACGCUCCUAAUUUUGAUCCCUAAUUGAUAGGGUAGGUCGUAUCAAUUUUAACCUGAUUGUUUCCUCACGCAGCAAUGUUUGAUCAUGAGACGAUUCAGGUUCUUUAUAUUUAAUUUCCUUUUCAAAUCUGCAGUUACAAUCUCCUUAACUGUAACCAGGCGAACUGCGCGGUUCUUUUAGCCUUCCGUCUUCCUAUGUGUUCUAAAUUUAUUGCUUUCAGUCCCGAUUCAUAUUUUCUAUGAUUAAUAACAACCGUUUCAUUUUGAAUCCAUCAAGUGUCCUGGCACUGGAAGAAUGAAAAGGUGCAGCCUAUAUAAAGGUCACCUGAUUUUCAUUCUCCCAUAAGAAGUAUCAAUGGGUGCUUUUGGUUUCUUUGUUGAUUUAAUUUCAAUCCGAUCACUUGUUUUCACCUUCGGUCCUCUUUUCCAGUUUACUCAGUCAUUUCGGUUCUAUUAGUUUUCAGGGUUUGAGGAUUUUGGGUGCUUAUUGAUUUAUUGAUAAAACUACGCCCAUUGUAUUCUUAGGAGGACUUACAAAUACAAAUACAUAACUACCAAUAUGUGCAGGAUCUUCCGUACUCCCACAUCGACAUCACGAAGCAAUACGAGAGGAAUUCAGGAUGGUUGUAGCAGUAACAAACUGCCACUGUCGGUCGAUGAUGUUCGGGAUUUGGAUGUUCUGAUAAUUUCAGUUUCGUUUGAAUAUUGCUACACUACCACACAUAGUGACACAACUUAUAUAGGCAACAAGAUGUACAGCAGGACGCAAUGCAGUUAAAGCACCAGAAAGAACAGGAAAAAAAAAACAUCAACCAAGUGAUAAAACUAUGUGAUGCAGGGUAAGCAGCAGAGAUUAAACAUGCUUUUUCAGAAUAUCCGUUCUCCUGUCCUUCCAAUUGGAUAAAUGUCUCAUCAUUCUCGACAACCUAAUCAGAGAUUAAAAAUGCCUUUUCAGAAUAUUCGUUCUCCCGUCCUUCCAAUUGGAUAAAUGUCUCAUCAUUCUCGACAACCUAAUCAUUAAGGAACAUUGAGAGAGAAACUCAGGCGCCUAUGUCAACUAGAGAAUGUCUCAGUUCCAUUGAGGAGGGAACUUCAGGAAAAGCAUACUUUGCGUACACUCAUUUGUAUUGUAUGUGUACCAAGUGUAUCAUACUUUGUAAUUGUUGUUCUGUUAGAUAGCUUCAUAUCUCUCAAAUUUUAAAACCAAUCAUCUGAAACUAAGCUUUUCAGAAU